rnacentral:rRNA from 1 species
GACGGAGGAGGCAAGCGUUAUCCGGAAUUAUUGGGCGUGAAGGGUACGUAGGCGGCUGGGCAAGUCUGGGGUCAAAGGCCACAGCUCAACUGUGGGAAGGCCCUGGAAACUGACCGGCUAGAGUGAGGUAGGGGUUGCGGAAAUUCCCGGUGUAGCGGUGAAAUGCGUAGAGAUCGGGAAGAACACCUGAGGCGGAAGCGCGCAACUGGGCCUCAACUGACGCUGAGGUACGAAAGCUAGGGGAGCGAAUGGG